UUAAGCGAAUAAGCGUACACGGUGGAUGCCUAGGCAAUCAGAGGCGAUGAAGGACGUGCUAAUCUGCGAAAAGCGUCGGUAAGGUGAUAUGAACCGUUAUACCCGACGAUAUCCGAAUGGGGAAACCCAGUAUCCAAUGGAUACUAUCAUUAACUGAAUCCAUAGGUUAGUGAGGCGAACCGGGAGAACUGAAACAUCUCAGUACCCCGAGGAAAAGAAAUCAACCGAGAUUCCCCUAGUAGCGGCGAGCGAACGGGGAGCAGCCCAGAGUCUUAAUCAAUAACAGUGUCAGGAGAACGGUCUGGAAAGUCCGGCAGUAAAGGGUGAUAGCCCCGUAUCUGAAGAUGCUGUUGUUGUGAACUCGACGAGUAGGGCGGGACACGUGUUAUCCUGUCUGAAUAUGGGGGGACCAUCCUCCAAGGCUAAAUACUCCUGAUUGACCGAUAGUGAACCAGUACCGUGAGGGAAAGGCGAAAAGAACCCCGGCGAGGGGAGUGAAAAAGAACCUGAAACCGUGUACGUACAAGCAGUAGGAGCCUCUUUAUGGGGUGACUGCGUACCUUUUGUAUAAUGGGUCAGCGACUUAUAUUCUGUAGCGAGGUUAACCGUAUAGGGGAGCCGUAGGGAAACCGAGUCUUAACUGGGCGAAUGAGUUGCAGGGUAUAGACCCGAAACCCGGUGAUCUAUCCAUGGGCAGGUUGAAGGUUGGGUAACACUAACUGGAGGACCGAACCGACUAAUGUUGAAAAAUUAGCGGAUGACUUGUGGAUGGGGGUGAAAGGCCAAUCAAACCGGGAGAUAGCUGGUUCUCCCCGAAAGCUAUUUAGGUAGCGCCUCGUGAAUUCAUCUUCGGGGGUAGAGCACUGUUUCGACUAGGGGGUCAUCCCGACUUACCAACUCGAUGCAAACUGCGAAUACCGAAGAAUGUUAUCACGGGAGACACACGGCGGGUGCUAACGUCCGUCGUGAAGAGGGAAACAACCCAGACCGCCAGCUAAGGUCCCAAAGUCAUGGUUAAGUGGGAAACGAAGUGGGAAGGCUCAGACAGCCAGGAUGUUGGCUUAGAAGCAGCCAUCAUUUAAAGAAAGCGUAAUAGCUCACUGGUCGAGUCGGCCCGCGCGGAAGAUGUAACGGGGCUAAACCAUGCACCGAAGCUGCGGCAGCGACACAAAGUGUUGUUGGGUAGGGGAGCGUUCUGUAAGCCUGCGAAGGUGUACUGUGAGGUAUGCUGGAGGUAUCAGAAGUGCGAAUGCUGACAUAAGUAACGAUAAUGCGGGUGAAAAACCCGCACGCCGGAAGACCAAGGGUUCCUGUCCAACGUUAAUCGGGGCAGGGUGAGUCGACCCCUAAGGCGAGGCUGAAAAGCGUAGUCGAUGGGAAACGGGUUAAUAUUCCCGUACUGGUGGUAACUGCGAUGGGGGAACGGAGAAGGCUAGGUUGUCCGGGCGACGGUCGUCCCGGUUCAAGCAGGUAGGCAGAGUGAUUAGGCAAAUCCGGUCACUUAAUGCUGAGAUGUGAUGACGAACCACCAAGGUGGUGAAGCAAUUGAUGCCCCGCUUCCAGGAAAAGCCUCUAAGCUUCAGGUUACCAACAAUCGUACCCCAAACCGACACAGGUGGUCAGGUAGAGAAUACUCAGGCGCUUGAGAGAACUCGGGUGAAGGAACUAGGCAAAAUGGUGCCGUAACUUCGGGAGAAGGCACGCUGGCGGUAGGUAAAGUCCCUUGCGGACGGCGCUGAAGCCAGUCGAAGAUACCAGCUGGCUGCAACUGUUUAUUAAAAACACAGCACUGUGCAAACACGAAAGUGGACGUAUACGGUGUGACGCCUGCCCGGUGCUGGAAGGUUAAUUGAUGGGGUCAGCCGUAAGGCGAAGCUCCUGAUCGAAGCCCCAGUAAACGGCGGCCGUAACUAUAACGGUCCUAAGGUAGCGAAAUUCCUUGUCGGGUAAGUUCCGACCUGCACGAAUGGCGUAAUGAUGGCCAGGCUGUCUCCACCCGAGACUCAGUGAAAUUGAACUCGCUGUGAAGAUGCAGUGUACCCGCGGCAAGACGGAAAGACCCCGUGAACCUUUACUAUAGCUUGACACUGAACAUUGAGCCUUGAUGUGUAGGAUAGGUGGGAGGCUUUGAAGUGUGGACGCCAGUCUGCAUGGAGCCAACCUUGAAAUACCACCCUUUAACGUUUGAUGUUCUAACCUAGGCCCAUAAACUGGGUCGGGGACCGUGUCUGGUGGGUAGUUUGACUGGGGCGGUCUCCUCCUAAAGAGUAACGGAGGAGCACGAAGGUUGGCUAAGCAUGGUCGGACAUCAUGCGGUUAGUGCAAAGGCAUAAGCCAGCUUGACUGCGAGAGUGACGGCUCGAGCAGGUACGAAAGUAGGUCUUAGUGAUCCGGUGGUUCUGAAUGGAAGGGCCAUCGCUCAACGGAUAAAAGGUACUCCGGGGAUAACAGGCUGAUACCGCCCAAGAGUUCAUAUCGACGGCGGUGUUUGGCACCUCGAUGUCGGCUCAUCACAUCCUGGGGCUGAAGUAGGUCCCAAGGGUAUGGCUGUUCGCCAUUUAAAGUGGUACGCGAGCUGGGUUUAGAACGUCGUGAGACAGUUCGGUCCCUAUCUGCCGUGGGCGUUGGAAGAUUGAGAGGGGUUGCUCCUAGUACGAGAGGACCGGAGUGAACGCACCACUGGUGUUCGGGUUGUCAUGCCAAUGGCAUUGCCCGGUAGCUAAGUGCGGAAGAGAUAACCGCUGAAAGCAUCUAAGCGGGAAACUUGCCUCGAGAUGAGUCUUCCCUGUCGCUUUAAGUGACCUAAAGGAACGUUUAAGACUAAGACGUUGAUAGGCUGGGUGUGUAAGCGUAGCGAUACGUUGAGCUAACCAGUACUAAUGAACCGUGAGGCUUAACCUG
rnacentral:rRNA from 1 species